rnacentral:snoRNA from 1 species
CUGGCACGUAAUAAGAAUUCCACCAGCGCUGUUCCUCAUAACAGCAGUUUAAACAGAGGUGCUGACAGAAAGUGGAUCUUGUCGCCUUUGGGGGGCUGUGGCCAUGCCCCUCAAAGUGAAUUUGGAGGUUCUACACCC